rnacentral:rRNA from 1 species
AGUUGAUCAUGGCUCAGGAUGAACGCUAGCGACAGGCUUAACACAUGCAAGUCGAGGGGCAGCAUAAAAGUAAGCAAUACUUGGUGGCGACCGGCGCACGGGUGAGUAACGCGUAUGCAACCUACCUAUCAGAGGGGAAGUAACCCGGCGAAAGUCGGACUAAUACCGCAUAAAACAGGGGCACCGCAUGGUGAUAUUUGUUAAAGAAAUUCGCUGAUAGAUGGGCAUGCGUUCCAUUAGGUAGUUGGUGAGGUAACGGCUCACCAAGCCGACGAUGGAUAGGGGAACUGAGAGGUUGGUCCCCCACACUGGUACUGAGACACGGACCAGACUCCUACGGGAGGCAGCAGUGAGGAAUAUUGGUCAAUGGGCGGGAGCCUGAACCAGCCAAGUCGCGUGAAGGAAAGAAGGAUCUAUGGUUCGUAAACUUCUUUUGCAGGGGAAUAAAGUGCAGGACGUGUCCUGUUUUGUAUGUACCCUGAGAAUAAGGAUCGGCUAACUCCGUGCCAGCAGCAGC